GACAUCUUCCUCCGCCUCCCCACCCCAGGUGACCUCAUCCGCGCCUCCGCCGCCUGCGCCUCCUUCCGUCGCCUCGUCGCCGACCGCUCCUUCCUCCGGCGCUUCCGCAAGAUCCACCCCCGCCCCUCCUCGGUGUCGGCGGCCAGCGCCGUCGCCCUCGCGGCCGACUUCUCCUUCGCCUUCCUCCCCGCCACCGCUCGGAACUGGUCCGUGCGGGAAGUCCGCGACGGCCGCGUCCUCCUUGACAGAUCCUGCCUUCGUGACGCCGGCGAUGGGCUAGAAGCCCUCUUCAAGGAGAUGGUGGUGUGCGACCCCUUGCACCGGCAGUAUCUGCUGCUCCCCGCAAUCCCCGAUGACCUAGCCGCUUCGGUCGUGGGCCAACUCCUGGUAGAAGGGCAUUGCUUCAACGAGACCUUCCUCGUUCCUCCCGGCAACGACGAUGAGGAGGCAGCAGCUACCACGGAGGAGGAGGGGACAUCAUUCAGGGUCAUCUGGAUGGUUCUGCUUCAAGCCAAGUCGGUGGCCGCCGUGUUCUCUUCCUGCACAGGGAAAUGGCGAGCCUUUUCAAGCGAGCUGUUGCCGGGCUUCGUGUUAUCGACAUGGAUGGUUCUCUUCGUGUCGCGCCAUUACGCCCAUGGCCGCUUCUACUGGGUUUCAGGUUCAACUAAAAAAUUGCCGGUGCUUGACAUUCAGAGGAUGGAAUUCUCCAUGGCCGACCACCACUAG
rnacentral:rRNA from 1 species